GUACUUCUGCUCCUCGCUCCUCCCAUAACUGGGCUUCUCGUACUCCCCACUUUCCUGGCCCUCAUAGCUGGGCCUCUCAUAGCUAGGCCUCGGGGGUGGCGGCUCAUCUCCAUAACCGGUCAUCCUCGGCGGUGGUGGCUCAUCUCCAUAACCGGUCAUCCUCGGCGGUGGCGGCUCAUCUCCAUACCCGGUCCUCCUCGGCGGUGGCGGCUCAUCUCCAUAGCCAGUCCUCCUCGGCGGUGGCGGCUCAUCUCCAUAGCCGGUCCUCCUAGGCGGUGGCGGCUCAUCUCCAUAGCCGGUCCUCCUCGGCGGCUCUUCGCCGUGACCUGGCCUCUCAAACUCAGAACUCCCAUAGCUCGGCCUCUCCUCGCUUUCUGGCGUCUCAUAGCUCGGCCGCCCAUAGCUUGGCCUUCUCGGCGGCUCUUCGCCAUAACUACCCUCCUCACCAUAGCUCGGCUUUCUCGGUGGCUCUUCGCCAUAACCAGAUUCCUCACCGUAGCUCGGCUUCCGACCAUACCCAGAUCCGAAUUCAG
rnacentral:lncRNA from 1 species